UGUCAAGAAGCAGCUGCCCAGCCAGAACCUUUUAUUUCUCUGCCACUGUCAGAGGAGAGGGGCCUAAAAGACUAAUAGGGCCAAAACAAUGUGAGCAGAAGUAAUACAUCACUUCAGGGUUGAAGUUGAUGGAGAUGUGUAUCACUUCUGGGAAGAAAUUAAGAAGCCAUGUCUCGCAUAUAAUCUCUUUUCCUAUUGCCAGAUGAAUGGAAAGUCUCCAAGGAAAAGUCAUAAGAUGGAAAUAGCCUGGGUCCUGAAAUGACCCAUCUAUCAAGUAUAUCAGCAUUGGACAUGACAUUAGGCAAAUCUGCUGGUGAUGAAUUCCCUCAGUUUUUGUUUAUCUGAGAAAACCUUUAUUUCCCCUUCACAUUUCAAGGAUAAUUUUGCUGGACAUAGAACUCCAUGUUGAUGCUCCCAGAAGUCUUAGAAGGAGAAUGUGCCAGUCAGAAAUAUCCCAUGAAUCUAUGAGGGAGAAAUUCAUAAAACUGUAUGGAUCAUGAUCUUUUAC